AAACACAUAAUGUAGGCAUUUACCUAGAGCAUUUUAUUUUCAAGGGAAAUAAUUGUGGUCUGACUGUAUUAUUUUGAAAAUCACAGUUGAGAUUUUUUUAUGUGUGCACCGGUACAGUUUUGCGGAGAAGCGAAAAACAAGUGUCUGAUACAUAUAGUUGCAGUCUGUCUUUGGAAGCUGUAGAAAUAACAAGAAAGAGGCUGACAUAGUGUUUUGGUAGGGAAAAGUUUGAGUAUGCACAUGUACAGUUGUUUGACCUGUCUUACCCUGUGGCAGUCCAAGAAGAUGUUACCAUUAUGAAAAAUGCAAGAGAACUUGAAGACAAUGGUUAGUGCAGAAGGGACAUAAAAGUUAUGAUAAAAGUAACAGAUAUAAAUAAGAAGUGUGUUGUCAUGUGAAAUGGACUUUACCCCAACUGUGCUGCAUGAUGUAUAUUCAAGUGCGAGACAGCCAUGCACCAGCUGUAAACUGAGAUGGACCCAUAUAAUAAAUAUGUUGACUUUUCUAUGUAUUAUCAUCUGUACAGAAUGUGUUCAUGACAAGACUGUAUACAUAUAUUGUUAAAUCAUUUUUUAUUUCCAUUAUUGCAUGCAAGAAGCAAGCAUUUAACAAUUGCAUUCAUAGAAAUGUUAAAAUGUGAUCAAUCUAAUUUAAAGAAACACAUUUAAUUGGACUUUUUAAGUUUCAUAGUAUUUGUGGUGGAGAUUGACCCAGUCAUUCAGCAACUUAUACAGUCUGUGUGUCAUUUCUUGUAUGUUAUAGUUUUCUUAAUAAUACAUGUACAUUAAAUGUCAAUGGUAAGAUGAACU